rnacentral:ncRNA from 2 species
CAAAAGUUUGGUCCUGGCUUUUCUGUCAGCUCUAGCUAGAUUUACACAUGCAAGUAUCCGCCCCCCUGUGAGAAUGCCCACCCAGUUUUAUGCUCUAAAACAAGGAGCCGGUAUCAGGCACAUUCAACCCCUCAGCCCACGACGCCUUGCUAAGCCACACCCCCACGGGAACCCAGCAGUGAUAAACAUUACAGCAAUAAGUGAAAACUUGACUUAGUUUAUAGCUAUUCAGAGCCGGUUAAAUUCGUGCCAGCCACCGCGGUGAUACGAAAGACUCAAGCUGACAGCCCACGGCGUAAAGCGUGGUUAGGGUAAAUAAAAAUUAAAGCCGAACGCCCCUUAGGCCGUCAAAAGCAUAUGGGGGCAUGAAGCCCACUUACGAAAGUAGCUUUAUACUUCCUGAACCCACGAAAGCUAAGAAACAAACUGGGAUUAGAUACCCCACUAUGCUUAGCCGUAAACAUUGAUAGAAUACUACAACCUCUAUCCGCCCGACUACUACGAGCAUGAAGCUUAAAAACCAAAGGACUUGGCGGUUCUUUAUACCCCUCUAGAGGAGCCUGUUCUAUAACCGAUACUCCCCGUUUAACCUCACCCCUCCUUACCCCGUAGCCCAUAUACCACCGUCUUCAGUUUACCCAGUGAUGGACCAACAGUAAUCACAAUCGGCAUAGCCCAGAACGUCAGGUCGAGGUGUGGCUCAUGGAGGGGGAAGAAAUGGGCUACAUUCACUAGCAUAGUGCAUACGAAUGACGCAUUGAAACCCAUGCGUACUGAAGGAGGAUUUAGUAGUAAGUGGUAACUAGAGUGUACCACUGAAUCGGGCUCUGAAGAACGCACACACCGCCCGUCACUCUCCCCGAAAACUCACAAUCCAAAUAGAUAAUUAACUAACAACCACAUCAGGGGAGGUAAGUCGUAACAUGGUAAGUGUACCUGAAGGUGCACUUGGAAUAAU